rnacentral:rRNA from 1 species
GACGAACGCUGGCGGCGUGCCUAAUACAUGCAAGUUGAGCGCUGAAGGUUGGUACUUGUACCAACUGGAUGAGCAGCGAACGGGUGAGUAACGCGUGGGGAAUCUGCCUUUGAGCGGGGGACAACAUUUGGAAACGAAUGCUAAUACCGCAUAAAAACUUUAAACACAAGUUUUAAGUUUGAAAGAUGCAAUUGCAUCACUCAAAGAUGAUCCCGCGUUGUAUUAGCUAGUUGGUGAGGUAAAGGCUCACCAAGGCGAUGAUACAUAGCCGACCUGAGAGGGUGAUCGGCCACAUUGGGACUGAGACACGGCCCAAACGCCUACGGGAGGCAGCAGUAGGGAAUCUUCGGCAAUGGACGAAAGUCUGACCGAGCAACGCCGCGGGAGGGAAGAAGGUUUUCGGAUCGUAAAACUCUGUUGGUAGAGAAGAACGUUGGUGAGAGUGGAAAGCUCAUCAAGUGACGGUAACUACCCAGAAAGGGACGGCUAACUACGUG